CCUACGGGUGGCAGCAGUGAGGAAUAUUGGUCAAUGGACGAGAGUCUGAACCAGCCAAGUAGCGUGAAGGAUGACUGCCCUAUGGGUUGUAAACUUCUUUUAUAUGGGAAAUAAAUGUUCCACGUGUGGGAUUUUGUAUGUACCAUAUGAAUAAGGAUCGGCUAACUCCGUGCCAGCAGCCGCGGUAAUACGGAGGAUCCGAGCGUUAUCCGGAUUUAUUGGGUUUAAAGGGAGCGUAGGUGGAUUGUUAAGUCAGUUGUGAAAGUUUGCGGCUCAACCGUAAAAUUGCAGUUGAAACUGGCAGUCUUGAGUACAGUAGAGGUGGGCGGAAUUCGUGGUGUAGCGGUGAAAUGCUUAGAUAUCACGAAGAACUCCGAUUGCGAAGGCAGUUCACUGGACUGCAACUGACACUGAGGCUCGAAAGUGUGGGUAUCAAACAGGAUUAGAUACCCCAGUAGUC
rnacentral:rRNA from 1 species